CUGGUUGAUCCUGCCAGAGGUUACUGCUAUCGAGGUUCGACUAAGCCAUGCGAGUCGAAUGUAGCAAUACAUGGCGAACUGCUCAGUAACACGUGGACAACCUGCCCUUAGGACGGGGAUAAACCCGGGAAACUGGGUAUAAUACCCGAUAGGUCUCGAUUGCUGGAAUGCAUCGAGAUUUAAAGCUCCGGCGCCUAAGGAUGGGUCUGCGGCCUAUCAGGUAGUAGUGGGUGUAGCGUACCUACUAGCCUACGACGGGUACGGGUUGUGAGAGCAAGAGCCCGGAGAUGGAUUCUGAGACACGAAUCCAGGCCCUACGGGGUGUAGCAGGCGCGAAAACUUUACAAUGCGGGAAACCGUGAUAAGGGAAUCUCGAGUGCCAGCAUAUAAUGUUGGCUGUCCAGAUGCCUAAAAAGCAUCUGUUAGCAAGGGCCGGGCAAGACCGGUGCCAGCCGCCGCGGUAACGCCGGCGGCUCGAGUGGUAACCGUUAUUAUUGGGUCUAAAGGGUCUGUAGCCGGCCGGAUAAGUCUCUUGAGAAAUCUGGCAGCUUAACUGUCAGGCUUUCAGGAGAUACUGUCUGGCUCGAGGCCGGGAGAGGUGAGAGGUACUUCAGGGGUAGGGGUGAAAUCUUGUAAUCCUUGAAGGACCACCAGUGGCGAAGGCGUCUCACCAGAACGGACCUGACGGCAAGGGACGAAAGCUAGGGGCACGAACCGGAUUAGAUACCCGGGUAGUCCUAGCCGUAAACGAUACUCGCUAGGUGUCGGCCACGGUGCGACCGUUGUCGGUGCCGUAGGGAAGCCGUGAAGCGAGCCACCUGGGAAGUACGGCCGCAAGGCUGAAACUUAAAGGAAUUGGCGGGGGAGCACCACAACGGGUGGAGCUUGCGGUUUAAUUGGAUUCAACGCCGGG
rnacentral:rRNA from 1 species